UCCCUAGUAUCUCAGAGGGUAAAGCAUCUGCCUGCAAUGCAGGAGACCCAGGUUCGAUCCCUGGGUUGGGAA
rnacentral:tRNA from 1 species